CCUACGGGAGGCAGCAGUGGGGAAUAUUGCACAAUGGGGGAAACCCUGAUGCAGCAACGCCGCGUGAGUGAGGAAGUAUUUCGGUAUGUAAAGCUCUAUCAGCAGGGAAUAGAAAAGAAGGUACCUGAAAAAGAAGCCCCGGCUAACUACGUGCCAGCAGCCGCGGUAAUACGUAGGGGGCAAGCGUUAUCCGGAUUUACUGGGUGUAAAGGGAGCGUAGACGGAAAGGCAAGUCAGAAGUGAAAGCCCAAGGCUCAACCAUGGGACUGCUUUUGAAACUGUCAAACUAGAGUACGGGAGAGGUAAGAGGAAUUCCUAGUGUAGCGGUGAAAUGCGUAGAUAUUAGGAGGAACACCAGUGGCGAAGGCGUCUUACUGGACCGAAACUGACGUUGAGGCUCGAAAGCGUGGGGAGCAAACAGGAUUAGAUACCCCAGUAG
rnacentral:rRNA from 1 species